GCCUGGGGGGCUCAGACGGUUGAGCAUCCGACUUGGGCUCAGGUCAUGAUCUCGCAGUUCGUGGGUUCGAGCCCCGCGUCAGGCU
rnacentral:tRNA from 1 species